rnacentral:rRNA from 1 species
GUGUGCCGAGAUCGCCCGAUUAAACAAUAAGCAUCCCCCUGGGGUACGUGCAAGCUGAAUUCAAAGGAAUGACGGGCCGCACAAGCGUGGAGCAUGUGUUUAUUCGAAGCAACGCGAAGACCUACCAAAGCUUGACAUAUACUGAGCCUGUAGAGAUACAGGGGCUCUCGAGAGGUAUAACAGGUGUGCAUGGUUGUCGUCAGCUCGUGUCGUGAGAUGUUGGGUUAAGUCCCGCAACGAGCGCAACCCUUACGGUCAGUAAAUAACCAGAGAUGGAGCACACUGGCAGAACAGCCCUGGAUAACAGGGAGGAAGGAAGGGAUGACGUCAAAUCAUCAUGCCCUAUAUGUUUUUGGGCAACACACGUGCUACAAUGUAUGCAACAGAGUGAUGCGAACAGGUGGGGGGAGAGCUAAACACAAAAAAGCGUAAUCAGUUCGGAUUGUAGUCUGCAAAUCGACUACAUGAAGCUGGAAUCGCUAGUAAUCGCGAAUCAGAAUGUCGCGGUGAAUACGUACCCGGGCGUUGUACCCGACACGAGGCACUAAAAGGGAGGCCGCAGAUCUCGAGGUUCGUGCCUUGAGAGCACGGAAGGAGUGGAGGAAGGAAAGGCCCAGGAUAAACGGAGGUGGCGCCAAGGAGACAGCACAGGAACGGAAGUGGUACCAAGCUAACCUAAUCGGAUUCUUGUCCCGUUGACUCAGAGGCUGC